GACGAACGCUGGCGGCGUGCUUAACACAUGCAAGUCGAACGGAAAGGCCCUGCUUUUGUGGGGUGCUCGAGUGGCGAACGGGUGAGUAACACGUGAGUAACCUGCCCUUGACGUUGGGAUAACUGCAGGAAACUGGGGCUAAUACCGGAUAGGAGCUCCUGCUGCAUGGUGGGGGUUGGAAAGUUUCGGCGGUGGGGGAUGGACUCGCGGCUUAUCAGCUUGUUGGUGGGGUAGUGGCUUACCAAGGCUUUGACGGGUAGCCGGCCUGGGAGGGUGACCGGCCACAUUGGGACUGAGAUACGGCCCAGACUCCUACGGGAGGCAGCAGUGGGGAAUAUUGCACAAUGGGCGGAAGCCUGAUGCAGCAACGCCGCGUGCGGGAUGACGGCCUUCGGGUUGUAAACCGCUUUCGCCUGUGACGAAGCGUGAGUGACGGUAAUGGGUAAAGAAGCACCGGCUAACUACGUG
rnacentral:rRNA from 1 species